ACUCGGGUUGCUCUGCGGGGACCAUCGGCUCCCACGCAGGCCUGCCCUGGGAUGGCGCCGGACACCUGCUUCCUGUCCACAUCGACUCCGCUAAGGACUGGGCGAGCAGGCUCAGGGAAGCCUAUCAGAAUCAGUUUGCCAGAAGAAAAACAGAAAGGGGGCACCUUACAGAGACUAGAAGUGGCCAGCGCUGGUCUCUCCCUUGUGAAAGUUAGUCCCUGGGGCGAGCUGAAGGGGUAGAGAUUUCCCGAGUACUCAAUAAUCAGUAUGUAUGGUAUAGGGUAGCGAGUGUGAGCGCUCGCGUGUGUAUUUGCAUUUCAGGAAGUGGUUGCUUAGGCAGCUGAGAGACUAGCGGUUGGGAAAUGGAAACUCUCAGAGCAGCCUGUAGCUUUCAGUUUUGCCGUGUGUACUAUGCGCUAUCUGUAAAGCAAAAGCAAAAGUUUAAACAAGGAACUUUUAA
rnacentral:lncRNA from 1 species